AGUGAACGCUGGCGGCAGGCCUAAUACAUGCAAGUCGAACGGCAGCACAGCAGAGCUUGCUCUGUGGGUGGCGAGUGGCGGACGGGUGAGGAAUACAUGGGAAUCUGCCCAGUCGUGGGGGAUAACGUAUGGAAACGUACGCUAAUACCGCAUGCGCCCUACGGGGGAAAGUCGGGGACCGCAAGGCCUGACGCGAUUGGAUGAGCCCAUGUUCGAUUAGCUAGUUGGCGGGGUAAAGGCCCACCAAGGCGACGAUCGAUAGCUGGUCUGAGAGGAUGAUCAGCCACACUGGAACUGAGACACGGUCCAGACUCCUACGGGAGGCAGCAGUAGGGAAUAUUGGACAAUGGGGGCGAACCCUCGAUCCAGCCAUGCCGCGUGAGUGAAGAAGGCCCUCGGGUUGUAAAGCUCUUUUGUCCGGAAAGAAAAGCAUCUGGUUAAUACCCGGGUGUUCUGACGGUACCGGAAGAAUAAGCACCGGCUAACUUCGUGCC
rnacentral:rRNA from 1 species